rnacentral:rRNA from 1 species
GGCGGCAGGCCUAACACAUGCAAGUCGAACGGCAGCACAGGAGAGCUUGCUCUCUGGGUGGCGAGUGGCGGACGGGUGAGGAAUACAUCGGAAUCUACCUUGUCGUGGGGGAUAACGUAGGGAAACUUACGCUAAUACCGCAUACGACCUACGGGUGAAAGCAGGGGACCUUCGGGCCUUGCGCGAUUGGAUGAGCCGAUGUCGGAUUAGCUAGUUGGCGGGGUAAAGGCCCACCAAGGCGACGAUCCGUAGCUGGUCUGAGAGGAUGAUCAGCCACACUGGAACUGAGACACGGUCCAGACUCCUACGGGAGGCAGCAGUGGGGAAUAUUGGACAAUGGGCGCAAGCCUGAUCCAGCCAUGCCGCGUGGGUGAAGAAGGCCUUCGGGUUGUAAAGCCCUUUUGUUGGGAAAGAAAAGCGAUCGGUUAAUAACCGGUUGUUCUGACGGUACCCAAAGAAUAAGCACCGGCUAACUUCGUGCCAGCAGCCGCGGUAAU